AAAAGGUUCAACAGUUCUCUAGUUCU
rnacentral:piRNA from 1 species